rnacentral:lncRNA from 1 species
AGAUCCCGAUCCAGCGAUCGUCUAUGAAGGACAGAAGCUCGUCCUGCGCUGUCUCGUCAGGAAGGGGACGCAUCUGUCCUUCACAUGGUACCACGACACACAGUUAGUGAACUCCUCGUCAGAGCUCCACCGGCUCUCCGGAGACGCUCUCACGGUGGACGGGGCGACUGAAAUGCAUGCUGGGAUAUACUCAUGCACAGCUCAAAACCAGAUGACCGUCAACCCCAGAUUCUCCAGCAGCCGAAACCUCCACGUCACUGUCAAAAAGCGCAUCUCGGCGCCCUCGUUAUCGUUUACGGUCUUCUCUAACGGCUCCAGCCUGACGGCCAACAUCAGCUGCCGUUCUGAGCGUGGAUCUCCGCCCGUGACGUUCAGAUUGAUGUUGGACGGACUGGAGCUGGAUGUGAAGCGAGUGGAUUCACUAGAGUCCUGGUUCGUUCUGCCGAUCUCUGUGGGUCUGGAUCUGGGAGCCGCUCGAUGUAAAGCACAAACGGAAACACAGCAGCUGCUGUCUGAUCCCGUGCGUUUACUCGUAGUUCCAGUAGGUGGCGCUGUGCGUGUCACAGUAACGUACCUCCACGACGCCGACGGGACGGUGGCAGCCGCUCGGCUCAAAUGUGUCCCAGACAUAGGAACGUUUCCCACAUUCUCCUGGCGUCUGAACCAUUCCUCCCUUCCAGCAGAGGGCGACGCUCACGCGGUCACUCAUCACGGUCAGAUCUUGAUCCUCACAGAUGUCAGCGCUGGGUUUUACCGCUGCAGGGUGAGGGACAGUUUUAACGACAGCUCAGUCUGGGUGGAGAGCGAGGACAUCUUUAUUCAGAAGACAGAGGACGUGAUCCAGUCUGAGAUGAUAACAAUGAAUGAUCCUGUAGCUGAUGUUUCCUCUGAACCUCAACCUGUGGAAAUGAAACAGUCAUCAUGGAGUUUGAGGCCUAGAGGUCUAGACCAGUGUCCUGCAGAGACGUCUUGAAGAUUCUAGAAAUCCUGAACACUUUGAUUAGCUCUUUAAUUAAGGUGAAAGAUGAACUCUGACUGGACAUCAAUCACUACUGAGCCAUUUUCCUGUUUUUAAAUUGUUUUCUAUCAAUGAGAUUGUAAGGCUUUUAUAUACCAAAUAAAUGUUUAAUUUAUCAAAUGCUUCUACUGAAUAUAUGCUUUCUAUGGAGAGAGAUUC